UACGUAGGGUGCAAGCGUUAAUCGGAAUUACUGGGCGUAAAGCGUGCGCAGGCGGCUUUGUAAGUCUGUCGUGAAAUCCCCGGGCUCAACCUGGGAAUGGCGAUGGUGACUGCAAGGCUAGAGUUUGGCAGAGGGGGGUAGAAUUCCACGUGUAGCAGUGAAAUGCGUAGAUAUGUGGAGGAACACCGAUGGCGAAGGCAGCCCCCUGGGUCAAAACUGACGCUCAUGCACGAAAGCGUGGGGAGCAAACAGG
rnacentral:rRNA from 1 species